UUCUGCGUAGCCGGCGCCGUGACUCACCUCCUUCCUGGCUGCAGAGACCUGGUUGGCCUCAGCCCUUAGCUGUGGGGCCCUCGCCCCAAUCCUGCAUCUCCCUCUCGAGGUGUGUUCUCAGGACCAGUGGGGCACCAUCUUCACCUAUGACUGCACGAUCCUUGCGUGGAAAUAGCAAUUUUUGAAACCACUUCUGCAGAAGAUGAGCUUGCAAGGCUGUGCCAGGAUGAAGAAUAAUGACAAGCCUCGCCUGUGGAAGAGAUGCUGAGCUCGCUGCCUGGAAAACACCAGACACGUUCAGGACUGCCACAGAGAUUGUGCUGCUGAGGUGGCAUAGAGUUUCAGAUAUUUAUUAAUGAUUUCCUGCAUUUAGAGGGGAAAUACUUCCUAGUUUGCUGGAAUCUACGUUCGCUGUGUAGAAUUCAUAUCAAUUAUUCGGACCCAGUUUGUUCCAGGGUUCUGGAUUGAACAAAUACCAGGCGCAAGACGUACAGCCCAGCUCCAGUACCUCUGGCUCCACUAAAUACGAAGAGAGGUAUCAAGCUUGGCUGCUUCUUGGAAGAUCUUGGAAGAUUUGGCAGAACGUUGUGGUGACAGGAGCCUAGAGUCCAAGAGAAAAGAACAGAUCUGCAAGGCGUGGGUGCUGAGAAAAUAGAUCUUAAGCCUUCUUUCUAUACACAGAAGAGGUAACUGUGUGAGAUGAGGAAUGUGUUAAAAUUACCUUAAUUGUGGUCAUCAUUUCACAACAUAUGCAUAUAUCAAAUCAUAUGGCACAUUUUAAGAAUAUACAAUUUUGUCAGUUAAAAUUAAAGCUGGGAAAAAAUUAAAACAUCA